rnacentral:rRNA from 1 species
GACGAACGCUGGCGGCGUGCCUAACACAUGCAAGUCGAACGGAAAGGCCCUGCUUUUGUGGGGUGCUCGAGUGGCGAACGGGUGAGUAACACGUGAGUAACCUGCCCUUGACUUUGGGAUAACUUCAGGAAACUGGGGCUAAUACCGGAUAGGAGCUCCUGCUGCAUGGUGGGGGUUGGAAAGUUUCGGCGGUUGGGGAUGGACUCGCGGCUUAUCAGCUUGUUGGUGGGGUAGUGGCUCACCAAGGCUUUGACGGGUAGCCGGCCUGAGAGGGUGACCGGCCACAUUGGGACUGAGAUACGGCCCAGACUCCUACGGGAGGCAGCAGUGGGGAAUAUUGCACAAUGGGCGGAAGCCUGAUGCAGCAACGCCGCGUGCGGGAUGACGGCCUUCGGGUUGUAAACCGCUUUCGCCUGUGACGAAGCGUAAGUGACGGUAAUGGGUAAAGAAGCACCGGCUAACUACGUGCCAGCAGCCGCGGUGAUACGUAGGGUGCGAGCGUUGUCCGGAUUUAUUGGGCGUAAAGGGCUCGUAGGUGGUUGAUCGCGUCGGAAGUGUAAUCUUGGGGCUUAACCCUGAGCGUGCUUUCGAUACGGGUUGACUUGAGGAAGGUAGGGGAGAAUGGAAUUCCUGGUGGAGCGGUGGAAUGCGCAGAUAUCAGGAGGAACACCAGUGGCGAAGGCGGUUCUCUGGGCCUUUCCUGACGCUGAGGAGCGAAAGCGUGGGGAGCGAACAGGCUUAGAUACCCUGGUAGUCCACGCUGUAAACGGUGGGUACUAGGUGUGGGGUCCAUUCCACGGGUUCCGUGCCGUAGCUAACGCUUUAAGUACCCCGCCUGGGGAGUACGGCCGCAAGGCUAAAACUCAAAGGAAUUGACGGGGCCCCGCACAAGCGGCGGAGCAUGCGGAUUAAUUCGAUGCAACGCGUAGAACCUUACCUGGGUUUGACAUGGAUCGGGAGUGCUCAGAGAUGGGUGUGCCUCUUUUGGGGUCGGUUCACAGGUGGUGCAUGGCUGUCGUCAGCUCGUGUCGUGAGAUGUUGGGUUAAGUCCCGCAACGAGCGCAACCCUUGUUCACUGUUGCCAGCACGUUAUGGUGGGGACUCAGUGGAGACCGCCGGGGUCAACUCGGAGGAAGGUGGGGAUGACGUCAAGUCAUCAUGCCCCUUAUGUCCAGGGCUUCACGCAUGCUACAAUGGCUGGUACAGAGAGUGGCGAGCCUGUGAGGGUGAGCGAAUCUCGGAAAGCCGAUCUCAGUUCGGAUUGGGGUCUGCAACUCGACCUCAUGAAGUCGGAGUCGCUAGUAAUCGCAGAUCAGCAACGCUGCGGUGAAAAAGUUCCCGGG